AUAAAUAUCCAGGGGAGCUUGUAUCGGCAGGCUGAGAGGAAGUAAUCAACUUCGACCCUUAUACCUGAUGCGGAUAAUGCCGCCGUAGGAAGUCUGAGCUGAUUUUUU
rnacentral:ncRNA from 2 species